GGAUGUGAGGGCGAUCUGGCUGCGACAUCUGUCACCCCAUUGAUCGCCAGGGUUGAUUCGGCUGAUCUGGCUGGCUAGGCGGGUGUCCCCCUCCUCCCUCACCGAUCCAUGUGCGUCCCUCCCGAAGCUGCGCGCUCGGUCGAAGAGGACGACCUUCCCCCCUUCCCCCCUGAGGAGAGGACCGGUCUUCGGUCAAGGGUAUACGAGUAGCUGCGCUCCCCUGCUAGAACCUCCAAACAAGCUCUCAAGGUCCAGAUGUUUGUACCUACACACUGUUGACAUCCAGCCCUCUUCCUUGUACUGCU
rnacentral:snRNA from 1 species